GUUAGCCCCGCCUCGGGGUGGGAAGAGCCGGAGCUCACUUGGGCGAAGCUUUUCUUCCUCUCUUGCCUCUUCCUCCUAAUGUUUCCUCUGCAGCCGAGCUCGCGGGCAGGCAGCCUGCCAUGGGGUCCUGCUCAGGAGACCCCCGCCUCUGCUGGGCCACCUGGCUCCUGCGAUGCGCCAGCCUCCUCCUCAGUGCCUGCAGCACUGUGGCCAACAGCUCCGGAGCCCACGUGUAUCUGAACAGGACCCAGGGAGGCUGUGUGUUGUUUCACGCGGCCCGGGAGGCAGGAGCUGAGCUCAAGGAGAUCUCGUGGGGCUUCGGCCCUGAGUCCGACUACAGAGUCAUCCUGCGGGUCCAUUCUGGCACGGACUCUCCCACCUGGGUCAGCCUCCGGGACAAGUAUGAGCAGAGGGUCCACGUGCCCAACAUGACGUCCCUGAGGAUCGACAACCUGACCCCCGGGGACAGCGGGCAGUACCGGGCUCGAGUCAGCUUCACCGGAGGAAGAGAAUUUAACAUGAAUUUCCACCUCACUGUCUGCGCACCCGUGCCCCUUCCCCAGAUCUGGGUCACUUCCUCAUCCAUCACACCAGGCUGGUGCAACGUCACCCUCGAGUGCAGGGCCCAGGGGGCCAUGGACGACCUGAAGGUGACCUGGGAGAGCAAAGGCCUCCCCGAGGAGCUGGAGCAGAGAGGGACCCCGGGACCAGCCCCCAACUCGUGGACCCUGGAUCUGAGCCUGCCCCUGAGCCAGCCCAACCCCAGGCUCACCUGUGUGCUGAGCAAUCCGCUUGACCAGAAAACUGCCACCACAGACCUUGGGGCCAUCUGUGUCCCUGCAGGUUCACAUGCACAGACCAGUGCUCGCACCCUGCCAGGCAUCCUGGGGGCCACCGUCACUGUGCUGCUCAUCCUUGGAGCUGGACUGUGGCUUUGGAAGACGCGUGGGAAGAAGAAGAAGAUGGAGACUGGGAGAGGCAGGUGGCUCUUGUCCUUGCAGCCCAGCUACCGCCCUUCUCCCAUUGUACCCUAUAUGCUCUCUUUCUCCUGCAUUUUGCUGCUCAGGGAAUGUCCCAGAGGAGGGGAGGGUGGGUGUGGCCAUGACCUUGGGGUUCAUAGCAGUGCGGGAGGGUAGAGGUUUCCAGGGUCCAGCUUCAAGCUCCGCUCUGUGUGUGACGCAGGUGCAGGCCUGCAGGAGGAGCACAGGGACGAGGAUGGUGGCAUGUACUAUGCAGAGCUGAGCCCACAGGUGCCUCAGGAGGGCAGGGACAAGGAACCGUCUGGGUUGCACCCCCAGGGUAUCGGUGAGCAACAUCUGCAAGACGAGGAGCCUCUCAAGUCUGUCUACAGUGUGGUCCAUAAGCCAGGCCAGGCCAUGAAGAUGAUUUAAGGAUGCAGGAGAAUCCAGUCCUCCUGGGACACCUGCACCCUGAGCUGAUCCCUGCAGACGCUGCCUCUCCCAGCUCUGGUCCAGCUCCAGCUGCUCCUGGUCUGUGUGCUGUGACCCUGGAGCCCUCAGAUCCCUGUGUGCAUGUGGCCCGGCCACUUCCUCUGACCCUCCCCAAGCUGCCCUCCCCUCAGCGUCCUCAGCCCUGCAGGACGAGGGCUCUUCCUGUCGUGGACUCGGCUCCUGGGCCCUGUGCUCCUGCAGCUCCCCAUGCAGACCCUCCUGACUGCACAUGGCAGCCCCCACGGCCUCUGCUGCGUGUCUUUCUGAGAACGUGAGCCCAGGCACGGGCACUGUAGAGAUGUUGACUGUCCACAGAGGAGGGAGGUGGGACCUGGCUUCCGGAUGCAGAGUUGGGGGUCCGUGGAGGCAGCAUGGGAGGGUAGGGCCCCCAGAGGGACUGGCCCGGGAUCACUCUGCCCCUUGUGCACAGCUCCCGGGAAGGGGGGGCAGUGUCUGCGUUGGGAGGAGUGUCCAGUGCACACUGUACACAGGCCACGGCCUUCCUUCCGGGCCUCGGCCGCAGCCCGCCUUCCUGCGGAGUGCGUGGGGGAUGCGUCUGCUCUCAGGGUCUGCUGAGCCUUCUCAGAGAAUGAGCCCAGGAGCUCAGAGUCCGUAGUAGCUGUAGGAAAAGAGCCUCAGACGUUCCCCUGUUGGGAUGCACACUUGGUGGUGCGGAUGGAUGUGGGGUGUCCUCCUGCCUCUGCUGUGGGUGUGAGGGUGAGCCUGGGGAGGGGAUGAGCCAGCCCUCCCAGUCCCCGGGGGCCUCGGCAGACGGAGCCCCAGUGCACAGAGGCUGCUGAGAGUCUCGUGAGCCCACAUGUCAGCGGGGGUGGAAUGGGAUGACCUCCGUGACUCUGCCUGGCCCCGAGGUUCUGGUGGGCUCUCCCCGCCUCUCCUGCAACCUCACGUUGCCUGAGGACCUGAGGCGGCCUGCACUGCAGUGUGCGGGAGCGUCUGCCCUCCCGGGGUCCUCCCGCCUCAAAGCCUCUGCCUCCUGCAGCUCUUGGGUCAGAGAUGCACUCACUCUGGUCCCGGGCACUUAGUACCUCGUCUGCUGGCCUGGACUCCUGGGCCCCUUGGUUCCCUUCCCAGCUCAGCUCAGCUGCUCCAUCUCUGACCUUAGAAAGCAAAGUUCUGAGCUAGAGGCUUGGGCGUUAUGAAGCAAUGCUCUCGUCCUGCUCUAUGGGGCCUGGAUAGCGGAGGAGGAGGCGGAUCAAUAAGGAGACUCUUUCAGACCUCUCCCCCCUCAGGCUGAGCAGGAAGCUGAAACACAAAGCUAACAUCUCCUUUCUGGAAUCCCAGGUGAGUGGUCGUGGUGGAGUAUCAAUGUCCAUCCACUCAGGAGCAGUGAAAGAUGUGACCAUCCAUUGACCCUUCCCACCCAACCUGAAGCAGAGAAGAAAAGGAAGGGAACCGGCCUUUCAAAGCCUAUAAUGAAUGAGGCUUUUCCCUAGGCAUUUUACAGAAAUUAUUCCCUCUGUAUCCUCCCAAGAACUCUCUAGGGUAGGUAUUAUUAUCCCCAGUUUGCAGGACAGGUUCCUAGCAUCCCAAACUAGCUGGUGACAGAGCAAAGCCUUCAGUCCAGUGCUGGAUGAUUCUAGUGUCCACAUCUUACCCUUUACCACAUGGUCAGUGAAGAACUUGGGAUCCUGGAAUGUUCAGAAGGGAAUACCCUCCAUUCCUUCCUCUCCCAAGGAUCCUGGUCUUCUGUCUCAGGUGCUCCAACUUGUUUUGAGCUCAUCCUGAUGAUGGAUGGAGCCUGUGGUGGUAGAGAGGGGAAUUGCCCCUUAUGUGGAGAAUGGGGCCUUGGUGGUGGGAGACGUGGAAUGAGGGACCUUGCCCACUGGUGCAGAUGAGACAUUCAGAGAUGACGUCCUUUCCCUGGAGUCUCGCAGAAGUUCCUUCUCCUCUGAACAAGGUAUGUUCAGCAUCCCCAUCCUUACCAGCUAGCCUUUGCAUUAUAUUCAAAACUCCACUCAAUAGGCUGUACAUGAUUUUCUCAUUUAAAACUUCAACAGUUCGGUAAGGAGGCAUCCCCAAUGUACAGAUGGAAAAAUAAAAUCCGGAGAGGUUAAGCCCCUCACAUGAGUUCUCCCGAGUUAGAGUGAUGCAGGCAUGAUGUAAGGCCACAUGGAUGGUAAUUUUACUCAUUUGAUCCUUUCUCUCCCUCAUCCCAGACACCCAAUCUGUCACCAUGCUCCACGGGAUUAUCCUUCCUAAUGCUUCUUGGACCCCGUCCUCCUCUCAUCCUUCCAUUCCCACCUUCCUUCCACCUUUUGCUGCACUGUUUUUACAUUUCCGCCAGCAAUGGAUGGGGAUCUCUCCACAUCCUCUGCAACUCAUUUUUCAAUUGUAGCCAUCGUAGUGGGUGUGAAGUGGUAUCUCACUGUGGUUCUGAAUUGCAUUUCCAUGAUGACUAGUGAUGUUGAGCAUGUUUUCAUGUGCAUAUUGACCAUUUGUAUACCUUAUUUGGAGAAAUCUGUUCUUCUCUUGAAUUGCCCCACCUUUCCAUUGAAUCUGCUGCUGUCGGGGUCACCGGGAAACUCCAGAUUGUUGAAUCUGGUGGUCAGCUCUCAGUCCUCAUCUCCUGGAACCAGUUUGCAAGCAAUGGACCUGCCCUUCCUUGAAAACCUGCCUUCAUGUUGCAUUCACCACUCACUGUUCACUUCUUCCUACUCAGCUGUUGUUCCUUAGUUUCGUUAUCAUUUUCCUCCCCAGCUCCUUAAUUUUGGAAUAUCCCAGGGUUUGUACCCAAACCACCGAGACCACCUCUCGUCAUUAGGUACACCCAUUUUCUUUCUGAUGUUAUGGACACGCACUAAUCCCCAGAUUCUGUGACUAUGUGACCUUCAAUGUCAAAAAGGACUUACAGAUGUGACCCCUCUUCUGGACUCCACAUUAUGUCCCACUGUUUGGACAUACCUGACAUCUCCACUUGCAUGGAAAACAAGCAUCUCCAGCUUGUCAUGUUUAAAUUUAAACUCCACACACGUGCUUCCCGCACAUUUUCCCACCCCUAAAACUGUCACUUCCAUCCUUCCAUUUUUCUGGCCACAAAACUUUGGUGUCAUGCUUGAUAUCUUCCUUUUUCUCACACCCUACUCCCUAUCAGUACAUACUGAUAUCUUUCCUCCUGUAUAUAUAUAUAUUCAAAUAUUUAUUUUCAUAAUAAAAUACCUCUCACAACCUCCCUGGCCCUAUCAUUCUUCACCCAAAUUACUAGAGUAGCUUCAUAUCUCCCUACUUUGGUUUUUAAUCCCUUAGCAUCCUGUUUUCAAAAUUAUCAUCCAGAAAGAUCUUUUCCAAACCUAAGUUGCACCUUAGCUGAGGACUCCCCCAUGGGUCUACUUCAUCUGCAAGGCCCUGUACCACAUGACCUUAUGUCCCAUGCUCCCUUUCUCCUUUCAUCCACACUGGCCUUUCUGCCAUUCCUUCCAUACACAUUGUAUGCUUCUGCCUCAGGGCCUUUGCUCUGCCAGGAGUCUCUUCCUCCAGGUAUCUGCAUAUCUCUUUCCCUGACCUCCCGCAGGUUUUGUGCAUAUGUUACCUUCUCAGUAAGGUCUAGCUGACUUCCCUAUUUAAACCUGCAUCCUUCCCCUGGAGCCCUCCCUCCCCCUUCAUGCCCUAUUUUCUCCACCCGCCCUCCACGAGGUUGUGAGUCAGGGUGAAUUUAACCUGGGCUGUACUUUAAAGACGAGUGGGUAUUGAGGCCUCAAGGUGUCAAUUUCAAUCUUAUUAUGAAAAUACUAUUAUUAUUUCCAGGAAACUGCAACAUUGAUAAGUUACUUGUCCAAGUUCACAUACCUAAUAAGAGUUGGGACUGAAAUCUUGGAGUUGGAAUCUAAAGCCCUUGCCUGUGACCACUAUAUAGUGGGUAAAUGAAGUACAGUCUGUCCACAUGAUGGAUUAACAGUUAUGUAAUAAGAACAAUAAAUUACAUUUUUAUUUAUUUAAAUGGAAAGCUCUCCUUGAAAUAUUAAGUGGAUUAUGGAACAAUGUGUGUGGUAUUAUCUUGUAUUAUAAAUGCAUAUAAACAUAUGUUUGUGUGAGUAAAAAGGAAGUCUAAAAGCUGA